GAAAUGCGAUAAGUAAUGUGAAUUGCAGAAUUCAGUGAAUCAUCGAAUCUUUGAACGCACAUUGCGCUCGCCAGUAUUCUGGCGAGCAUGCCUGUUCGAGCGUCAUUUCAACCAUCAAGCUCUGCUUGCGUUGGGGAUCCGCGGCUGCCUGCGGUCCCUCAAAAACAGUGGCGGGCUCGCUAGUCACACCGAGCGUAGUAACUCUACAUCGCUAUGGUCGUGCGGCGGGUUCUUGCCGUAAAACCCCCAAUUUCUAAGGUUGACCUCGGAUCAGGUAGGAAUACCCGCUGAACUUAAGC
rnacentral:misc_RNA from 1 species